UUUUAUGAAUGAGCAAAGAAAGUGGUUUCUUGAGACAUAAUCCACUCCUGGUGAAGAUGCUGUAAA
rnacentral:pre_miRNA from 1 species